rnacentral:lncRNA from 1 species
UCUCAAGUGAUGAACAUGUCAAGCCUAAUGGAUAAAUUGCCGUACACAAAUAUUCUAAUAUUUUACUGUUUUACAUUUCUCUGCAGAGGUCAGGGUAAGCUGUAACACUGUUUUAUCUUGUGAUGUUACUUUCAAGAGAGCAUAAGGGGACAUUUUGAAUAGAUUGGAGUCAUUAACUUAUUUAUAUGAGGUAUAAAUAAAACAGGGACUAUAAUCGUCUUCAUAUUCGUCUUUAGAUGAGCUCUUAGACUGUGGUUGAAGUGCUGCUGGGACAUUAACUGUUGCAUAGUCACAAUCAUCGUCAGUGAUUCUCUGGGAGUGUUGUGGUCAGUCCUUAAAAGGAUGUACAGAGAAGAUUCACAACUUCCUGUUGGGCUGCUUACGAAGGUGAUUCCCCACUACCCUGAAGUGACAAGUUUACUUAAUAACCUUUAGAACUAUGUGUCUCAGGUUUUGUAAUAAGGAUGACCUAUGUCUACAUAAAUAAGCGUUUCUGUAAAGGGUAUAUUGCAGAACUAAAUUGCAAAGAUAAAACACAGUAUGCAAUUUUCAUGUGUGUACAUCAGGCAGUGUGUGAUUUCAUGACACACUGAAAUACACAGAUGUGGCGGAUUGUUUUCGAAUGUAUGUAGAAGGCCAGGAAGUGGUAAGAAAAAUGAGGGCAUGCAGAAGAUAUAGUUUUAGAUUAUCUCUAAGGUCUCAAGUGAUGAACAAGUUAAGCCUAAUGGAUAGACUGCCAUACACAAAACUUCUGAUAUUUUUCUGUUUUACAUUUGUCUGCAGAGGUCAAGGAACUAAUCAAAACACCUCUGCAAACUCCAACACUACUACCCCUUUCAAAUAUACCGUUGACAGACAUACAACUUUCAAGAUGGGGAGUGAUGCUGAUCUCACAUGCAGUGAUAAGACAGUAAAUGAGACAAUAUAUGUUAUCUGGAAGAUAGACUUGAAAUACAAAGACUGUGAGAUAUCUUUUAGCAAUGAUGGCCAAAGUUUAGAUUCCUGCAAUGAUGGCAAGUCCCUGCAAAGCACAUCCAGUGAUGAAUUCUACCUGCACAUCCCAAACUUCUCAAAUGAUGACGUGGGGAUCUACAAGUGUGAUACAGCUUACAAGGGAGGAGGUGAAACUUACAAGAUCGACGUGUCUAUCACAGUUCCUCCCACUAUAUCAGCCUGGUUAGAGCGUAAGGACAACAUGGUGGUGGCAGUGUGCAAAGCUGAAAGAGGAAAACCUGCAGCCAGCAUCACCUGGAGUCAUAUGGAAAACUUGACGGCUGGGGAGCCAGUGAUUGACUCAAAAGGAUUUUUUACAGUCGAAAGUCGUCUGGAGUUCCUUGAGGGAAUGAAUCCAGAAAACCUGAGCUGUGUUAUCAGGCACCCGUACUGGAGAGAGGAACAGAUUUUUGUACCAAAACACAGAAAAGCAGGUUAUGAUCCUUGGCUGUGCAUCCUUAUUGUUGUGCCAAUCAUUGUGCUUCUGACAGGACUUUUAUAUUUUGCACAAAAGAAACUAAUGUUGAGGUGAUGCCAGCAGUCCAACACCUCACCAUCCAAAUCACCACCAGUAGAUGGAGGAUGUGGUGGAAAUGGAGGAAGUGGAGGAGGUGGAGCCCUACGCCAACCCUAAGGGACUGUUCUGCCAUCUACUGGUGGAGAUCAGAACAUUGUCCAGCAUCAUGAUCAUGCAAAGUAAAUGUUAGGAUGUCUAAUAAUGAUAAUAAUACACACAUACAUAUAGAACUGCUGAACGUUUUCUUAACACAAGAAUCAUAUGUAUAUUAAAACUGUUUUUGCUUCCUGUAAUAAUUCACAAUGUUCAUACUGGCUAUUAAGAGAUGCCUUCCUAAUUAUUCCACUGUAAGUGAUUGGGAACAAAAUCCAGAGUCCCCUGAAGCCAGAGUCUGCUCUUUCUGUUUUGAAUUCUGAUAUUUAAUUGUAGGCGGCUCAUCUUACCUUCAAACUGAUUAUUUAGUUGGACAGAAAAGAGGAAACCUCACGAAUGUAUUUCUGUCCACAGACCAUGACAAACUUGGACUCUCUUAGUAUGUCUCAGUGGUGGAGGAAGUCGUCAGAUCCUUUACUUAAGCAAAAGUACUUAUAUCACACUGUAAAAUACUUUGUCCUGCAUUGAAAAGCUUAAGUUAAUGUAUGUAAGUAUAUUCAGGGAAAUAUUAAAGUAUUAAAAGUAAAAGUAACGCAAAAAAAUUUCCCCUGUGACUAUUUUGCUAGUAUGUAUUGUAUCAUCAUUAGAUAAUUAUGCAGCAUUUUACUGUUUUCUAAUUUUGAACCAUUUUGUAUAAGACUAAAACAUCAUCAUUUGAGCUGUUUGUGCGUAGUUACAUUCCACCAUUGGUUUUUCAGUGGUCCGUUCUGGUGAACACAUUAACACAAUUUCUUCUCUUUGAACUUAUUUCAAACAUUUUCAGUGAAACAGUUGAUUGAUACAACAGUAUCAUGAACAAAAGUGGUACUCUGUAAACUUUUAAUCAAUAAAAAAAUCAAUAAAACCACAAUGAAACCAAGGCGGCUUACAGUAAAUUACACUACUCUACCAUUUCAUAUGCAUACAGUAAAACAUAAAUAGUUAUUUAUAGAUACAGGUAGAGACAGAAAGGUGUUUUGCAUACACAUACAAAACAUAAAAACAUAAAUUCUCAGAUCUUAAAUAUCUAUUUGUAGUAUAUUUUGGGUUGUAUGCAGCAAUUCUCAGGAGCACUAAGUUGCAAAAUAAGCACAAACCUUGAAAUGCAGAUUAAGGUAUUUGUCAUGGACACAAUUAUAUAAACAUUACAUUCUAUCUUCGUUGAUAUAAUAAUGUGGCAAUGGCACAGAUUGCAACAUUUUAAGUUUGUGCUUAACGUGGGGUAAGUUUCGACAACUGAAACUUCGCUUCAAGGUGGAGCACAGUUUUGGCUCUAUUUCAAAAGAACAUAGAUACAGAUCAAACUUUCAUCUGCAAUACGAAAUAGAGUGACAGCAGGUGUACUCACAGUAGUACAGAGUCAUUUUCUGUUUACAGGGUUACAGACCUGUUCUUUUCCUUUCAUGGUGGAAAAAGCACAUACACCCAUUGACAUUGAAAGUCACACUGAAUGCAUCAAUUCUGAAGACACAUUUUUCUUCAAGCAAAAAUGUAAGCCAUCAAAAUAAUAAAAAUAUUUGACACAUAGUGACUUUAAGAUCCUCAGUCAAUCAGGACAUGUUGCCACUAACAGUAGUUUGUCAGAAGCUACUGGGUCCAAAAACCAUAUUACAUAGUAAUUCAGUACACUAUGUACUGCGUCCUAAUCAUCAAAGUAUACUAUUUCAACAUAAGGGAAACUGGAAUUAGGCAGAUGUCAAUUAAGCUGCAGAUUUGAAAAACUAUUUAGCCAGUGAAACUUCAGAAAGAUAAACAUUUCCCCAAACACCACAAGCCCCCAAUUUAUUAACAUUUGUUUAGCUCAGCUGUGUGCAUUGCAUUAUGGGAGAAUAGUAUCCAUCAACAGCACACUCAGAAAUCGACUGUAUUCAAUCUGCAUACUGACUAAAGCCUAGUUUAUUUUGUCACUUUUCCAGUGUAAACACACAUACUUAAAACCCUGCUUAGAACCUUUGGUAUGAAUUUAGGACACGGUUAAAUUUCAUUUGACUCCAGAUAUUGUUCUAACAAACUAUUCCUCAUAUACACACACACAACAACAAUUUUGUUGACUAAUUUUCCUGAAAACAAAAAUGUUGGCAGUCAGAACUGUUUAAAGGUCCAGUGUGUAACACUAAGGAUAAUCUAUUGGCAGAACUGGAACAUGAUUUUCAUAUGUAUGUUUUCAUUAGUGUAUAAUAGGAAUUGUUGUGUUUUUGUUACCUCAGAAUGACACGUUUUUAUCUUCAGAGGGAGCGGGUCCUCUCCUAUGGAGUCUGCCAUGUUGAACCACCAUGUUCAGCACAGAAAGGGCAAACCAAACACUGGCUCUGCAGGACACAAAUCUCCCAAAAAUGUUCUCCUUUUUGGGAGAUUUCUGGCCACCAUAAGUUCUACACGCUUGGUGAAUGAUAGUAGAUGCCACUAAAUCCCACCCACUGGACCUUUAAAAGAUGUUAGAAUUACAUCAAAGUUUGGCACUUCACUACUAAAUUCUGAUAUUCAGGUAAUGGUGUAAAUGGUAUGAUGUUUUGUAUGAUUGACCAAAAUUAAAACAAGUCCAGUUUCUUUUCCUGUCUCACUGAUUCCAGAUAAUGUGAUGAAGUUUCAGGAAUCCAGGCAUAUCAGACUAAAGAGCUGCAGUUUAUCCUCCUGAGGUUGUGUUUCCUCUGUAAAGAGGUCAGAUGUGAUGCGAGUUUGUCUUCUUGGGGAAGGAACACCACGGUUGUGUUCAGGUUUGAGGUUACCUCAAAAGUGAAGGGAAACAUCAUGGGGCUUGGUGUUUCCACAACCAGCUGCUGUUGACUGUGGGUGUUUGCUUUUUUAUUUUAUCACAGUUUCUUCAUUGAAGAUGAUUGAGAAGAUCUGAUGAACAGUUUGACUGGAAACUUGGCAGUUCAACAGCAAACAAGUUCUUGGAUGUCAUUACACAAUAUUAGACACUCACUCCCACUUGAGAUAUUAUCUACUGAUCCUGCAUCUUCCAACAGCCUGAAUGAACGUUACCUCUAGUUUCUGUUCACCCCAUGAGUACAUAAUCAUCAUCACAUUCUUCUUUAGAUGAGCUGUCAGACUGAGGUUGAAGUGCUGCUGGGAUAUUAACUGUUGCAUAGUCACAAUCAUCGUCAGGGGUAGGUCUGGUUCUUCUUGAUCCUUUGGCAGAGUUGUGGUCAAUAGAGGCAUACGUUACAUCCUCCUUAGGCUGUCAUGAAAUAAUAUGCAGUGAGAUGGGAACUCCUCGUUCCUGAACAUAUGUUACACAUAAUUUAUUCUACUUCUUUGUACAUUGAUACUGCACACAGCACUUUUUUUUUUUAUGUGGUUAGUGGUUCUAACUUCCUGCACAUGAAAUAAAUAGCUUCACAGUUUCUUUUACAACAGAGGCCUCACACUAAUGUUCUCCCAGUAUGCAAAUUUAACAAGGCAGCACCUCUGACUGGGCUAUCAUAAAAGCACAGAAACACACCCAUGCCCAAUGGAAAGCUGAUAACUAUAACAAAAAUAGACUAAACAUUGAUGUGGGAAGGUCUACCUUAUUAUCUGCGCUUCUGUUAUCAUCUGGAGAAGAACCCCCUGAAAGAGAAAACAUAAAUAUAUAAAAUGUUGCAAAACUGUGUACAAUAUUCAUACUAUAUAUACUAAAUACUAUAAAUACCAUUACAAAUUUUGUUUUACCUUUCCUUUUCAUCUUUAUCCUAAAAUAGAGCAAAAGGAAAUGAUGAGACCAUAAUAAGGACCUUUAAAGGAGAUCUUUACCAUUAAACACACAGAGCAAUGAAACCAUUAUUGUGGGAUGAAUAAAAAUAUAAAAAUAAUGUCUUUAAUAUUAUUAAAACAUCACAAGAUAAUAUUUAUAAGCUUUUUAGAGGUUUCACACCACAGCAGUGUUUCCUUGACAGCUUAACAGAUGACAGCGUAUGUGGUGCAACAGGAAACACUUUACAUAUGCCUACAGCCCACAUCUGUCUAUGUCCAACUGUCUAUAUCAGUGACUACGGCACAGCAUUUCAAACUUUAUCUGCUUCUAGGUCAACAUCUCACAUCAAAUAUAUACUGUAUUGCUCAGCAAGGCUGCAAAGUUAUUAACCUAUUCACCACAGUUGAAGACGAUGAAACUGAAUCUAUUCUUAGCUAUUUCCUCACUAAAGCAAAUGCAGAAGCUGCUUGCUACAGAGCCAAAAUGCAACUUUGUUUCAUUUAAACAAGUGUUUUCAGCUCUCUCAUAUUUUUAAAUGCCCUCACUCAAAUCACUUGUGUUCUAAGGUAAAAGUUUUCGAUAUAUGCAGCAGUUUCAGAGCUCAGAGAAUGUAAUCAUCACUUGCUGAUCUAUUGCUUUGUGGCAUGUGAGAGUUUCCUUGACUAUGUCAAUGUAAUGAUGAUUACUUACCCUGAAGUGCAGUUUCCCAUGAUGAGCCCACAGAAUCUGGAUGUUCAACAGGUGGCAGGUACCAGUGAGUAAGAACAACCCUGAGCUUGACACUGAUCUCACUGAUCUCUCUGCUGUUGUAUCUGAGUGCACACAGGCCAGGGCAGAGAUAUAGAGAUGAAAGAGAGAGAGACAGAGAGAGAGAGAGAAAGAGAGAGAGAGAGAGAGAGAGAGAGUGUGUGUGUGUGUGUGUGUGUGUGUGUGAGAGAGAGAGAGAGAGAGAGAGAGAGAGAGAGAGAGAGAGAGAGAGAGAGAGAGAUCAUACAGUGGUCUUUUUGUGUGUUAUUUUGAUUUCCUGUGUACUAUGGUUUCUGACUCCACACACACACACACACACACACACACACACACACACACACACACACACACACACACACACACACACACACACACAAACAAACACGCACAUGUUAUCUCUUCAAUUGUGGCAGAAGUCUUAGGAACACUUGUAUUAAAACGUUUCUAAGU